rnacentral:rRNA from 1 species
AUUGAACGCUGGCGGCAGGCCUAACACAUGCAAGUCGAACGAGUGGCGGACGGGUGAGUAAUGUCUGGGAAACUGCCCUAUGGAGGGGGAUAACUACUGGAAACGGUAGCUAAUACCGCAUACCAUCGGAUGUGCCCAGAUGGGAUUAGCUAGUAGGUGGGGUAACGGCUCACCAAGGCAACGAUCCCUAGCUGGUCUGAGAGGAUGACCAGCCACACUGGACCUGAGAAACGGUCCAGACUCCUACGGGAGGCAGCAGUGGGGAAUAUUGCACAAUGGGAGAAAGCCUGAUGCAGCCAUGCCGCGUGUAUGAAGAAGGCCUUCGGGUUGUAAAGUACUUUCAGCGAGGAGGCGUUACCCGCAGAAUAAGCACCGGCUAACUCCGUGCCAGCAGCCGCGGUAAUUC